rnacentral:rRNA from 1 species
AUGGCUGAAGAGGAGAAGGCGUCGACGGCGGAGGGGGACGAGAAGGAGGACGUGAGCGACGUCGACGACUCGCCCCUCCCGGCGUUGAGGCGUCGCGCGGCGGCGAGCGACGACGAGGAGGAGGGCGAUGGCGGCGGCGGUGGGGGGAGUGGUUCCUCGCCGCCGUCGAGGGUGGUCUGGUCCGAUUCCGACUCCGACGAGCUGGGCGCGACCGAGGUGGACGGCGAAGACGAGGGUUCCGAGGAAUGCGAGGAGGUUCGCAAGGAGUUCGACGCAGGAUCUGGGGGCGGUGGAGAGGCCAAGGAAGUGACGCCGGAUGAGGUGGCUGCGGCGCCGGAGGACGAGGGGAAGUACGAGGAGGAGGAGGAUGCCCAGGCUGAGACGGGAGCCGAACUGAAAGAAGAGGACAAGGAGAACAAGGGGUUCGAGCCCGACGCCGUGCCGAGAACAGGUGCCUUCUACAUGCACGAUGAUCGCUUCCAGAACAAGGAAAACCGCAGCCGCGGGCGCCAGAGGGACUUUUUCGGUGGCCAAAAGUUAUGGAAUUCUAAAGAUGAUAGCGUAUGGCUGCAUGAUCGGUUUAAUGAGAUCAAUACCCAUGAUGUUCAACAUGACAGUACAAGGAGGCCAAGAAGUCCAUUUAGAGCUUGGGCUGGUGGUAGAACUCAUGAUGUUAACCAUGAUCGGUUUGAUGAGAUCAAUACCCAUUAUGUUCAACAUGACAGUACAAGGAGACCAAGAAGUCCUUUUGGAGCAUGGACUGGUGGUAGAACUCAUGACGUUAACCAUGAUCGGUUUCAUGAGAUCAAUACCCGUUAUGUUCAACAUGGCAGUACAAGGAGGCCAAGAAGUCCUUUUAGAGCAUGGGCUGGUGGUAGAACUCAUGACAUUAACCAUGGUUAUCUAGAAGGAACCAAAUCCGCAUCCUAUUAUCAUGAUUACAGAGCAGACUACAAGUAUGGGAGUACCAACAACUACAUUAGAUUUCCAAAAGAGGCCAAAACUUCCUAUUACAGCGCCAAGAACUACAGAAGUGUUCCAAGAAAAUCCCAUUCGUACUAUGACGAGCAGAACUGGACAGAAUCUCGUAUCUGUUAUGUGAAUGCUAAAGGUUACAACAAUGCACCAAAUGUUAACAGAGGGAAACCAUCAAGGCCCUACCAACCUACCUGGAAGAAUACUUUCCAAACCUCUUCAGUGCAAAACAAUAGGACAUAUUCCAGAUCACGGAAUGAGGAGGGCUGUUCUGAUACAGGUGUGGGAAAGAACUCACAUCGAACUUUAGGUUUGCAGAAUGAACAAGAGUUUUCGUCGAAGCAAGAACCCUCCUUUGUAGAAAGAAGGAAAGCACGACCUGACAUUUUAAGUAAGCUCUUCUCAUCCUCCGUUCGAAUGGCACAUAGUUCUCUGAAACCUCAAUCUCGUCCCAGUUUUGGAGUGAAGGCAUUUGCUCCUUCUGGUGAGCAUGGAAAUACUGCUGGUUCUCUUAGUAUGGUAAAAGGCAUGCCUAACCUUGGUUCUCAUUCAACUGUAUCAACAUCAAAUAGCCAAUAUUCAGAAUCCAGGGAUCAAGGAAGUGGUUUGAACAUUGGUGUCCCCACAGAGAACAAACUUUCUGCUCAGAUAUUUCAUCAAAACAUUGCCAGUGCCAGCAAAAUUCAGUCUCAUCCACAAAAUACACUGAUAAGUUCAACUGAAGAUGCAGAGACCAGUCCCCCUCCUGGGUCAAACAAUUCUUUAGCACCGUCUGUUAUAAUAGUGCAGAAUGAUAAGGUAGAAGCAGUGAGUGGCUCUUUCCCUUGUGGUGGAGGUCAUGCUCUUGAUGUUACAGUAGCAAAGGACCUUACUCUUGGCACUCCAGCAGUGUUGCCAGUUAUGAAGUUUGGUGAGCAGCAUCCUAGGGGACCUGAUAUCCCAUGCAGUGGUAUGGCUUUCCCAGGACUUUUGGCUCAUCAACCCAGUGACAAUUCUGAGCUUAAUCAAAUUACUUGGCUGCAAACAUUGUCUGGUGCUACUGGGGUUCUUGGGGCAACACAUGAUCCUUCUUAUAUUGGCAGUCAUUAUCCCCAACUAUCAGUAUUCCCAAGACACGAUUGUGUGACUGAAGUUCCUGUUUUGUUGAACUCCCCUGAAAUACCAGGUCAUGAGCUUGGCCAGCGCAAGAACAAACUUCUCAGAUACUCAGAGAUGAACUUCGCUUCAUGA